UACGUAGGGGGCAAGCGUUGUCCGGAUUUAUUGGGCGUAAAGAGCUCGUAGGUGGUUCGGUAAGUCGGAUGUGAAAUCUCCAGGCUCAACCUGGAGGGGUCAUUCGAUACUGCCGUGACUAGAGUUCGGUAGGGGAGUGUGGAAUUCCUGGUGGAGCGGUGGAAUGCGCAGAUAUCAGGAGGAACACCCGUAGCGAAGGCGGCACUCUGGGCCGAUACUGACACUGAGGAGCGAAAGCGUGGGGAGCGAACAGG
rnacentral:rRNA from 1 species